rnacentral:piRNA from 1 species
UCCCUUCAGAAUAUCAGAGGGC